AGUGAACGCUGGCGGUAGGCCUAACACAUGCAAGUCGAACGGCAGCACAGUAAGAGCUUGCUCUUACGGGUGGCGAGUGGCGGACGGGUGAGGAAUACAUCGGAAUCUACUUUUUCGUGGGGGAUAACGUAGGGAAACUUACGCUAAUACCGCAUACGACCUACGGGUGAAAGCAUGGGAUCUUCGGACCUUGCGCGAUUGAAUGAGCCGAUGUCGGAUUAGCUAGUUGGCGGGGUAAAGGCCCACCAAGGCGACGAUCCGUAGCUGGUCUGAGAGGAUGAUCAGCCACACUGGAACUGAGACACGGUCCAGACUCCUACGGGAGGCAGCAGUGGGGAAUAUUGGACAAUGGGCGCAAGCCUGAUCCAGCCAUACCGCGUGUGUGAAGAAGGCCUUCGGGUUGUAAAGCACUUUUGUUGGGAAAGAAAAGCAGCAGGUUAAUACCCCGCUGUUCUGACGGUACCCAAAGAAUAAGCACCGGCUAACUUCGUG
rnacentral:rRNA from 1 species